AAUUCUAAUGAAGCGCCAUCAACUCAACAGCCUGAGCUUGGGCUGAAAUGCCGGCAAACACUGGUCGGAGUGAUUUGUGUACUGACUGUGAUUAUUUUUGUUCUUUUCGGACUGGUGAUCAAACUGUGGUGUUCUGGACAAGUGUUACCUCAAACAGAACAGCAAAAUGCCAGUAUUGAAACAAAUACUAACAAUACUCGCAUGCAAUUGAAAUGGGAAACUCUACAAAGAACAUGUGAAAUAAAUUCAUCUGAGUUCCUUGAAAUGAGUUGUUCGAUCGAAUAUUCAGAGAAGAGAAACAUAACUGUGGCAUGUCAAAAACAGCCAACCAAGCUUACUCUGGCAAAACUGCAAGGCUAUUGCUGUGCUCAAAGUCAAUUUCGAUCGAACAAUGUGAAUGAUUCGUGGCUUGCUCAACUAAUAGAUUCCAGCGGAAAUAUCGUCUGCGAUGGAACUCUUAUAUCGGACUGGCAUGUCCUGACUUCAGCACAUUGCGCAUUGAA